rnacentral:sRNA from 1 species
GCAGAAGGAGGAAGGACAGCACAGCUGACAGCCGUGCUCAGGAAGUUUCUGGAUCCUAGGCUCAUCUCCACAGAGGAGAACACACAGGCAGCAGAGACCAUGGGGCCCCUCUCAGCCCCUCCCUGCACACAGCACAUCAAAUGGAAGGGGCUCCUGCUCACAGCUACUCAGGAGGCUGUGGCAGGAGAAUCACGUGAACCCAGGAGGCAGAAGUUGCAGCGUGCCGAGAUAGUGCCACUGCAUGCCAGCCUGGGCGACAGUACGAGACUCCGUCUCAAAAAAAAAAGAAAAAAGAGAAAAAAGAAAUAAAAGGAAAGAAGGGUCUGUUGGAGCCUGGAUAGGGGAAAAUACACCAGAGAGGGACAGGGGUCAAAACAGGAAAGUCACAUUGAACUGGAAUUGGUAAGAGGUAGGAAAAUCUUAAGUGUUCUGUUUUCCUGAUUAAUCAUCAGGGGCCACCACAUUUUGAAAAAUGAUAAUAACUAUAUCAGAUGACACUUCAAAUAAAAAUAUAAGCAGGACAUGAAACACUGUCCUCAGCAAAAAACCUCAACAAUUGGGGGAGAAAAAACAACACCAAGGGUGUGCAGGGCCCUGAGAACUCUCACAUCUACAGGAGUCUGCA